GCACACACACUUUAUAAAGCCUGGACUCUGCCCAACAAUACAACUUUAGCUGCCACAUCACUCCACAUUCAUGACGUGAUGCUCUCUUGGUGAUUUGAUCCUUUGUGCUCAAAGGUUUCGCUCAGUACUCCUCAUGUAAAGAUUUUCCUCUUCCAACUUGCAGUUAUUUAGUAUUUUCUUAAUUAAUCAUUUAAAUACAUUUUAAAAAUACGUUUUAAAACAAAAAUAUGAUUUGUUCAUUGUCUUGUAAUAGACAGAAAAGCAUAUAAUUUUUAUGCUUAAGAAGUGAAGGCAAUGAAUGGUGUUUUCCUCAAAGAACUAGCAAAUAAUUUUAGGGUUCCUUCAAAAAGUUCUCUGCUUCACCUGGAAACACGGCAUGUAGCUCCCAUUUUGGAGGAUAACUAUAAACUAAAAGUCUUACAUCAAUGUCCACAGUGAUGUAAGAUAGGUGGCUGUAGUCUGCUCUGACAGGUGUAUGAAUAAAUGUUACUUUAAAAAGAGUGAAACAGGGGUGUUCUAAAUUCAGAUUUGUCCAAGAUUAAACUAUUUUUUUUCUACAUGUGCUGUUUUCUCCACUUUGGUGUAAUAAUGUGUAAAUACCGUAGCUGAUCAUGUUUAUAUAAAUGUGGAAAUCUAAAACCAUGAUUGUGAUUAAUCAGCUCCUCUCCUGCAUUAGACUUUUUAUUUGAAUGCAACACAUUUUUUCACCUGCACUCUGAUUAUGAGGUGUGAGUCUGGGCCUUUUCCUCUCCAUUAGCCACUUCCUCUUUCCUCAAUUUAGUUUUGAAAAUAGUCAGCUACAGAUCACUUUAUCUUUGCAGCACACAGCAGCGAAAUAGCUCAUUUUUCACAUCAGAUAGGGACAGACUGACCGGGCCAUGGAAGAAAUACAAUGACCACUUUCCACCACUAUGGUGUUUUUUGCACCCCGGACCGGUUUCAAGCAAGUCAGUUUUCUGCAAACCAGGCAUCGUGCACAUAACAAAUAAUAAUCUUUUUAAUUUUUUUAAUAGUUAUUUAAAAAAAUGUCCCAAACGAAAAUAAUUACUAGUGGUGGAACGUGAUUAAAAAAUAAUCUAAUUAAUUCAUCACAUUUUUUGUCAAAUAGAAGAAGCAAAGUUUUUCAAGUCAAAUAAGUUUUGCUUGACGAAUAAAUAGGGAUGGGAAUCGAAAACUGGUUCUUUUUGAGAACCGGCUCCCAGUAAUUCGAUUCCUACAAAUCGUUUGUUUACUUGACGAUUCCGCUUAUCAGUUCCUCUUACGUCGCAAAAACGUGAUGGCGUCACACGCAGGCUCUGGACUUUUCCAACAUGGCGUCCCGGCAGAAGCACUCAAAAGUAUGGUUAUUUUUCACUCGUAAAGACGACACCAGGGUUACUUGCAAUGCUUCAGUUUCGUCAAAGGGCGUAAAUACUUCCAAUAUGCUCAAACAUCUGUCCACCCAGCAUUAAAUUAGUUUGCAGAAAUGUACCGCGUUUGAUACGCUACUUAGCAUAGGCGAGCCUCAUCCAGGUAAAAGCAGGAGCGGAGCUAACGUCUCGGUGUCGUCUGCUUUACAUGUCGAAGGUAACGAUAAACUCCUCCAGGUCCUGUACAUUGUGUUUAUGCUAGCGCAGUUAACCUCAUUUCACAUAUGAAUAUUGCCUAUCUCCUGGAAUUAUAUUUUAGAUGACGAUGAUGACGGCCUGAGCCAUGCUGGCUCAGAUGCUGGCUCUCACUCUGGCUCGGAGGUUGUAGCGAGUAGCUCUCGUGCACCUUUAGCAACCCCUUUCAUCGAGGCAGGGAGGACUAAAAUGACGGAGGCGAGGAUAAAUGAAUGUCACCGAGCAGUGACCAGAUUUGUGGUGAAGGGUUUACACCCUUUUGCCACAGUAGAUGCUCCUGAAUUUCGGUAGGUUAUUUCGUUGCAUAUUUUCUGUUAUCUGCUCAUGUGAAAUCGAACACUGUCAAAGUUUUAAAUUGUUUUAACCAGUGUAGUUAUGAAUCAUUAUUCCCAUGUUUUCUGUAGGGAGAUGAAAAAGACUCUCAACUCAAAAUACCAUGCCCCUAACAGAGACAGUUUAACAAACCAUCUGAUUCCUGCUUGGUAUAGGGUUGAGAAAAGCAAUGUGAUCUCAGACCUGAAACAUGUCACAAAAGCAGCUAUCACAGCUGAUGGCUGGACCAGUUUUAGUCAAGAUCAUUACCUCACUGUAACGUUAGACUGUCAGGGAGGGUCAGAAUAAAGAAAAGGUCCUCAAAACCAAAGCAGUGUAAGAGUCUCAGACAGGGGCAGCUGUGGCAGAGGAGAUAGAGGGGAUCCUGGAGGAGUUUGGAGUAAACGAGAAGGUAGUGGCAGCUACUGUGGAUAAUGCAGCAAAAAGGUGAAAAAGCUGGGCAUUAUCAAGUUUCCAUGUUUUGCGCACACACUUAACCUGGGAGCUCAGAAGCUGUACAACUGCAGCACCAAGGGCGUCAGUUUGUUUUUAAAAGUGGGGGGGAUGGAGACCACAGCACUUUGAGAAAAUGUCGAAGAACGGCAGCAAAAUGCUACAAGCUGGGCUCGAACUCACAACCACCACACCAAAGGUGGAGGCUCAACCUGUUGAGCUGUCGGUACGUACGGGUAAAGGGGUCUGUGGGCCGCUAUAGUACUAAUUCUCCUGGGCCGAAAUUUUGCCCCUGCACGCCUCUGGUCGGAGCUUCCACUUGGCACGGGUGCAAAUUUAGCGUCUGCACGUUUUUUUUUAACCUCACGAAGGUGUGCUGCAUGUCUGUGCAACUCUCGGCCGAGUGCGGAUGGUGCGUUCAGGAGCGUCGGAAUUUUCUAUACUGCUGAAAAUAACUGGGUUUACAACGGCUUACAUGUGAAGAAUUUGAAUAUGUUGGAGACAAAAUGACCCCUGACAAAAAGUAGGGGGACACAUCCCCACCGUCCCCCCUAAACUGACGCCUAUGUGCAGCACAAUUUCCAACUGGGCGGCAAGGAUUCUUUCUGUGAUCUUAUGGAUGAAGAGAUCCCACGUGGCUAAAGUAGUCCUCAAAGAGAAGCAACAACUCCUUGGUAAGAAAACAUUUUAAGUAAAUCAGUCUGCCAACAUUUACAUUUUAACAUGUACUGUUAGUGAAAAGAUUAGUAUUAAUCUAAAAUGAUAAAUUGAUGAAAAGGUAAUAUUGUUUAUACUAAUCUCUUCAUGUUUUUGUCCAUUCAAAGUGGACAACGAUGAAAUCUGGGACCGAGUCAGGGCAGCAGCAGUGACAGCAAACACACCAGCAGCUGCAGCAGAAGAGCUGUCACAGUGUGGAGAGACACAGAGGCAGGCAGAAGAAGACAAAGACGAAGGAGAUGACUGUACCCCACCCAUAAAGCAGCAAAAGAAGACAGCCCAAGAAGAACUUUUUUUUGAAGAAGACAGUGAGCUUUUGUCUGUGGAGCAGCAGCCCCCGGUCUCCAUAGCCCAAAGAGUGGAUCAAGAAGUCCAACUCUACAGAACCCUUCCUCCCAUCCCAACCAAAGACAGCGCCACCCUCUGGUGGUGGCUGAAGAGGGACACAUUGCCAAUGGUGUCAGCUUUAGCUGAGAAGUAUCUCUGCGUCCAAGCCUCCUCCACACCAUCUGAAAGGGUGUUCGCCACAGCCGGAGACACCCUAAGUCCAGAACGAUCUCGUAUCCUUCCUGAGAAGGCAAACAUGCUAAUUUGUCUGCACAAAAAUUGUUAAUCUACCAAAGUGUAGAUAUGCUGUAUCUUCUGUCCAAAGUUGACAAUAUUAAAGAGUCAAAGCAAACAAACCCAUCUGUAUUUUUUCAUGCCCUCACCCAAUGAGAAUCGAUAAGGAGUCGUAUCGAUGAUUAAGUCGGAAUCGCUAAAUUCAAUUCCCAUCUCUACUAAUAUGUGAACCUAAACUACAAAAAUGUUUUUCAUUUAUAUUUAUCUGUAUAUUUUUUCACCUGUCUUCUACAUUUACAGAUUACUGCAAACUCGAAUCCAAUUAUAGUGAUAUUAUUCAACAUUUUGAGACUUUCUGUGAACUUGAGCACUUUCAGUGUCUUGAAAAGGACGGUUGUAGCUAACAUUAGCUCUGGUGCUAACAGCAACAUGUUUUGCGUUGAGGUGAUACCAUCGGCUUCAGUGAUGCAGUGAUAACAAAAGUCUUUGUUUCACAAUUUGCACACAACUAGGCUUUUAUCCAAGCUGACGUAUGGAAGUUUUUUUCAAAGAAAACUUUCCGUCCAACAAGCUCAACGCGGUCUCGUUUUCCUUCACUGUUCACCAAGCUUUCUUGUGCGCCGACAUCAAUCAGUGCAUCCUGUGCAUCUUCUUCACAGCUGGCAAAUAGACUUUAGGUGCAUUACCGCCACUUACUGGGCUGGAAUGUUCAUCAGUGAGAGAUUACAUGCGUUUUAUUUUUGUGUUGUUUUUUUUUUAACUUAUGUUUUCAGUAAUUAAAUAAUCAAAAUGAAUGCACUAAAGUCCCAGCUCUAAUGCUGCCUGGUGGCUGGGGACCACUGGCAUAGACAGUAGCUAUCCUCAGUGGUUAGAGCGACAUCAAAACCACUUAAUGAUCAUCAUUCACUGCACUAAUGCCACACUCGAAAGUCACACACUCAAUUAAAAAAAGGUCACAUGCAACCAUUUUGGUCCCAGUCUAGAGCCCCGGGUCUGUUUAAACUUGGAAAGGUUGAAUGAUAGUUUCCUGACAGCUCCUCCUGGCUCUUUUC